rnacentral:pre_miRNA from 1 species
AUAAGAUUCGGACCGUCGGUCUACCGAGCAAUAUCACCGGCUCGAAGGAAAAACUUUUCUUUGUCUU